UAUGAGGCGUUCACUCACUCACCCACACAAUACACACAAUAUUUACAGAUGAUAACAGUUGUGUUUUGUCUUUAACCAGGUUUUGGUUCUGGUGGUGAACAUCUUAAACUCUGAGAUGGAUUUUGUUUCUGAUGGCAGAUAACCCUGCAUCUCCCUUUUUUCAGUCGCUAAUAUCUCCUCUUCCCUGGCGCAGCUGUAACUGUGGCUCUAGUCCAGUCAAGUUAAGCUGCGCAUUUAGCUGCAUUCAAGUGAAUGGAGUGUGCUGUGGAAAACUCAAACUCGGAGAUGUCAGUUGUUUACAUGAAGGCAGCGUUGACAACUCAGACUCAAUGGGCACACAGUGGGGAUUCCGUUGGGAUUUUCCCGGCUCGGCCUUGCUGGUUGUCAGCCAUUCCCACCCGCAGCCCAGACGUCUAUCCCUGGACUCUGUGCCUUCACAGAAUUAAUAUUAUCUCCGUGUUGUAUUUUUUUCACCUGUUAGUGUUUAAUAAAAAUACUCAACUUUA